rnacentral:rRNA from 1 species
UACGUAGGGACCAAGCGUUGUCCGGAAUCAUUGGGCGUAAAGAGCGUGUAGGCGGCUUGUUAAGUCUUGCGUGAAAUCUCGGGGCUCAACCCCGAGCGGUCGUGAGAAACUGGCAGGCUAGAGUGCGGGAGAGGAGAGUGGAAUUCCUGGUGUAGCGGUGAAAUGCGCAGAUAUCAGGAGGAACACCGAUGGCGAAGGCAGGUCUCUGGGCCACUACUGACGCUGAGAAGCGAAAGCAUGGGGAGCGAACAGG